GGAAGCUGGUGGAGUGACAUCUGCCUGCCUGAUUGGUGUUUUAUGAGCGAAUUCUGUCUUGCCAAAUGCACAGUCACUGCACAGUCAGCUUUGCAAACAGUCUUGGGAAACGACUGCACAUGAUGGUGAAAUACCACGAAAGUCCAAUGUGGUUCCUUGGAAACAAGCUUCUCCGGAUUACUUGCCAACUCUGGGAACAGGAAGGCAGAGACAAUCCAUCUCUGAGAAAUCUUUAGUACACAGUGACCAGUCUCUUGGAAGGCUCUUGCAACGUGUCAUACUUCUCAGUGGCACAUAGAGAGUGUGCACCAGAUUCUUGCUCUUCGCUCUUCAACUUGACUCCUGCCUAGUGGCUCAUGGUCUCUGCCUUGUGUGGGGGAUGGAUGUCACUUUCUGUUUCCACCCCAGAACUGGAGUCUCCAAGCCCAGACUGGAGCCAGCCUUUGAUUCUUCUUUAUAUAUUUUGAACUUUAGUAGCUGAGAAUGAUGGCACCCCUCUGGGCCCUUCUUUUUGAACAUGAUACUCUACCAUGAACUUUUGAAGAUUGUGGUUCAGACCCAGAACCUGACAAAGCAGAGCGAUGACCUCCUCCUGGUUGGUCUUAAUCCGCUGAGUGAUUGGCUGCAUUACGAGGACAAUCGAAGAAGGCUACACACAUUCCUCAGAAGCCAGAUCCUCUGCCACUUGAAUCCAAAUCCCUCUUUCCUGCUGGGACCACAAAACUAUCAUUGCUUUUCUCAGAUGAGAGGAAAUUAGCCAGUGGUCAUCAACUGGGAUGAUUUUGCCAAGCUGCCAACCCCCAUGGGAGACUUGGGGAUACCUACGGACAUUUUUUAGCUUUAUAGCUGGGUUGGGGUGCUAAUUGACAGAGGCCAAGGACGCUGCUGAACAUCCCACAGUGACCUGGACAGACCACCACAGCAAGGGAUACUCACUUCAAAAUGAUGACAGGGCUGAGGUUGAAAGCCCUGCAUUAAACCUAGUGGGUCUUUGGGUUUUUGUCUACAUCUUGAAUGUAUUUGCUCAUGG
rnacentral:lncRNA from 1 species